UUUUUUUUUUUUUUUUUUUUCUGGAGCUGGGGACCGAACCCAGGGCCUUGCGCUUGCUAGGCAAGCGCUCUACCACUGAGCUAAAUCCCCAACCCCAAUGAUGAUGAUGUACUUAAAGUGUUUGUAAGCCAUUUGUGGCAGUGCACUUGUGAAUUUCCUAACAGGGUUUGAUCUUACUUGGUGUAUGUGUUUGUGGUCCUAGAGAAUGCCAGUUUAGGUGCACGUCGGUGCCCUUCUAACUAGGUUUUACAGGCUCACCAUUUCCCUUGGGUGCCCACAGCACAUGGGCAGCAUACGGUAGGUCUGUGUGCAACUCCUCUUUCCUCAGUCAAGAUGGGAAUACGGCGCAGAGCCCAGGAGAUAAUAAAUGCAGUUGUUUCUAGAACAUGGAUGGUUCAGCAGAUGCUAACUGUUGAGCAGUAAAACUGUUAGAAAGCACCAAUAAUGUCAAAUUAUAAAAUGUUGGAAAAUGUGUUCGUUUUGAUCAGCUUGGCUCAGUUAUUGUCCCUUAAUUAAGAGAAUGUGAGGGAUUUGUCUCUCACAGAUAACAGGAUUCUUCCUGUCGUUGAUGGCUGCAUGUUACUGGCCACACAUGACUUUCUGCAUCUCGUUGGUUCCGACCUAGGAUGUAAAAAGAAAUGUGCUUAGGAAACGGCUAGGUCUAGAAUUUAUUGCCUAAUGAGUGAAAUGACAAGUCACCCGAUUUCCUGUUAGCAUGGGCUUGUUCCUGUGUGCGUCCAUGCAUGUUACCCCACAGGGACCCCCAUCUGAAUCCACUUCAGCUACUCCACCCCAGAUAGGGCCAGAUGAUGAUCACAUAGGAAGAUCCAUAAUCAUGACACCAACAAUUCAGGCUAUCGAUUUAUGGUUUUCAAAAAUGAUUUUGUAAACUUUAUUGAAAGUAAAGUUUCAUUGGACUUGUGUGUCGUUUCUUAUAAUUUAUUUUUCUUUGUAAAAGAGUCUGAAAAUGUCUGAAAGUACUGUGACUUCUGAGUUGUCAAUAAAGUAUAAUUAUUUUGCUUGCUAAUGAA
rnacentral:lncRNA from 1 species